rnacentral:rRNA from 1 species
UCUGCCCGCUGGCGGCGUGCCUAAUACAUGCAAGUCGAGCGAACAGAUGAGGAGCUUGCUCCUCUGACGUUAGCGGCGGACGGGUGAGUAACACGUGGAUAACCUACCUAUAAGACUGGGAUAACUUCGGGAAACCGGAGCUAAUACCGGAUAAUAUAUUGAACCGCAUGGUUCAAUAGUGAAAGACGGUUUUGCUGUCACUUAUAGAUGGAUCCGCGCCGCAUUAGCUAGUUGGUAAGGUAACGGCUUACCAAGGCAACGAUGCGUAGCCGACCUGAGAGGGUGAUCGGCCACACUGGAACUGAGACACGGUCCAGACUCCUACGGGAGGCAGCAGUAGGGAAUCUUCCGAAAUGGGCGAAAGCCUGACGGAGCAACGCCGCGUGAGUGAUGAAGGUCUUCGGAUCGUAAAACUCUGUUAUUAGGGAAGAACAAAUGUGUAAGUAACUAUGCACGUCUUGACGGUACCUAAUCAGAAAGCCACGGCUAACUACGUG